rnacentral:rRNA from 1 species
AUUGAACGCUGGCGGAAUGCUUUACACAUGCAAGUCGAACGAUGAACCUUAGCUUGCUAAGGGGAUUAGUGGCGAACGGGUGAGUAAUAUAUCGGAACGUGCCUUGUAAUGGGGGAUAACUAGUCGAAAGAUUAGCUAAUACCGCAUACGCCCUGAGGGGGAAAGUAGGGGAUCUUCGGACCUUACGUUAUAAGAGCGGCCGAUAUCUGAUUAGCUAGUUGGUGGGGUAAUGGCCUACCAAGGCGACGAUCAGUAGCUGGUCUGAGAGGACGACCAGCCACACUGGAACUGAGACACGGUCCAGACUCCUACGGGAGGCAGCAGUGGGGAAUUUUGGACAAUGGGCGCAAGCCUGAUCCAGCCAUGCCGCGUGAGUGAAGAAGGCCUUCGGGUUGUAAAGCUCUUUCGCAAGGGAAGAAAACUUACCAUCGAAUAAAUGGUGAGGCUGACGGUACCUUGAGAAGAAGCACCGGCUAACUACGUG